UGGGGAAUAUUGGACAAUGGGCGAAAGCCUGAUCCAGCCAUGCCGCGUGUGCGAAGAAGGUCUUCGGAUUGUAAAGCACUUUAAGUUGGGAGGAAGGGCAGUAAGCGAAUACCUUGCUGUUUUGACGUUACCGACAGAAUAAGCACCGGCUAACUCUGUGCCAGCAGCCGCGGUAAUACAGAGGGUGCAAGCGUUAAUCGGAAUUACUGGGCGUAAAGCGCGCGUAGGUGGUUCGUUAAGUUGAAUGUGAAAGCCCCGGGCUCAACCUGGGAACUGCAUCCAAAACUGGCGAGCUAGAGUAGGGCAGAGGGUGGUGGAAUUUCCUGUGUAGAGGUGAAAUGCGUAGAUAUAGGAAGGAACACCAGUGGCGAAGGCGACCACCUGGGCUCAUACUGACACUGAGGUGCGAAAGCGUGGGGAGCAAACAGG
rnacentral:rRNA from 1 species